GCGGGAUUAACUCAGUGGUAGAGUGUCAGCUUCCCAAGCUGAAGGUCGCCGGUUCGAAUCCGGUAUCCCGCU
rnacentral:tRNA from 1 species